AGGAUAAUAGUUUAAAAAAAACAUUUAAAUUGCAAUUAAAAAUUAUUAUUAAAUUUAUCUUA
rnacentral:tRNA from 1 species